GACAGAGGGGGCAAGCGUUGCUCGGAAUCACUGGGCGUAAAGGGCGCGUAGGCGGGAUGGCAAGUCGGUCGUGAAAUCCCUGGGCUCAACUCAGGGGGGUCGGCCGAUACUGCCGUUCUUGAGGGAUGCAGAGGAGACUGGAAUUCCCGGUGUAGCGGUGAAAUGUGUAGAGAUCGGGAGGAACACCGGUGGCGAAGGCGGGUCUCUGGGCAUUCCCUGACGCUGAGGCGCGAAAGCGUGGGGAGCAAACGGG
rnacentral:ncRNA from 2 species